CAAUAGCGUAUAUUAAAGUUGUUGCGGUUAAAAAGCUCGUAGUUGGAUUUCUGCUGAGGACGACCGGUCCGCCCUUUGGGUGUGUAUCUGGCUCUUUCUUGGCAUCUUCUUGGUGAACGUUGCUGCACUUGACUGUGUGGAGCGCUACCCAGGACUUUUACUUUGAGGAAAUUAGAGUGUUUCAAGCAGGCAUACGCCUUGAAUACAUUAGCAUGGAAUAAUAAGAUAGGACCUCGGUUCUAUUUUGUUGGUUUCUAGAGCUGAGGUAAUGAUUAAUAGGGAUAGUUGGGGGCAUUCGUAUUUAACUGUCAGAGGUGAAAUUCUUGGAUUUGUUAAAGACGGACUACUGCGAANGNAUUUGCNAAGGAUGUUUNCAUUG
rnacentral:rRNA from 1 species